CCUACGGGAGUCAGCAGUGAGGAAUAUUGGUCAAUGGGCGCGAGCCUGAACCAGCAAAGUAGCGUGAAGGAUGACUGCCCUACGGGUUGUAAACUUCUUUUAUAAAGGAAUAAAGUGAGGCACGUGUGCCUUUUUGUAUGUACUUUAUGAAUAAGGAUCGGCUACAUCCGUGCCAGCAGCCGCGGUACUACGGAGGAUCCGAGCGUUAUCAGGAUUUAUUGGGUUUAAAGGGAGCGUAGAUGGGUUUUUAAGUCAGUUGUGAAAGUUUGCGGCUCAACCGUAAAAUUGCAAUUGAUACUGGCAGCCUUGAGUACAGUUGAGGUAGUCGGAAUUCGUGGUGUAGCGGUGAAAUGCUUAGAUAACACGAAGAACUCCGAUUGCGAAGGCAGCCUACUAAACUGCCACUGACAUUGAUGCUCGAAAGUGUGGGUAUCAAACAGGAUUAGAUACCCUAGUAGUC
rnacentral:rRNA from 1 species